CCUGCGACAUAUUCUGGUCCACUUGUCUUAUAUUAGGAAUACCCCUUAACUCAUAUUAAGAGGAUGACAUCUUCCCAAGUUCCCAUACUAUUCUCAUGGGUACCAAUGAGCUCAUUUCUUUAUGGUUAAUGGGAACCUUACCUAGGAAAGCAGGCCAAGAGAGGCAGGUUUUCCAUUAAUUGAAUCAUUAAAACCCCCUGGCCUGACUGCUUGGGUUAGAUGCUGGGUGUGCAGUGGCCCCUACACAAGCUCAGGGUCUAGUGGGGUCACCACUGACAGUGGGGUUGAGGGCCGAGCAAGGACAAACUUAGGGUCCCUCUUCUCCUUCUGGCAAGAUUGUCCUGGAAAUCUCCUGUCACACCUCUGGGGUGAUGGCAGCUGUCAUGGCCACACAAGGGAACAAGGCAGGGCAAUCACUGGGGACAUGCAUCAGCUCAUCAUGCUUUCCCCCAUGACUGUCCUCUGCAAAGCCACAUUGCCCAGAGGCGCUUGUCCAAAGCAGACCACCCCAUAAAGAAACAAGUGUUCUCAGGUUAGGAGACAAAGGUCAGGAUGAUAGGGAAGAAGGCAUGUUCACUUCUAUGUGACAGGGGAGUGCUGAGCUGGGGACAUGAGAGUGGUGUGGGGCUUGCCCUGGCCUGACCGCUUCACUGAAUCUGGUUGGGGGUGGGGGCAUGGAAAGAAGUUGUGCUAAACCUGGCAAGGUGAGGGACCAGACUCGAGGACAGUGCUAGCUUCGCAACUCUGCUCUGCAGGAGGGUGAUGGGGUUAAGAAACAGAAGCAACAUUGGGUUCCCUCGGGACUUUUCCCUUUUUCCACCAUCAAGACUGUUUUAAGGACCAGAAGGGAAAUCACGAGGCGACAAGAGGCUACUAUGACUGAGGAGACAGGCCCUAGAAAGGAGUUGUUGGUAUGAGCUGCUGAUAGAGCACCAUGGGCUGGGAUGGGGCGGGGCAUGGCCACGACUCAACUGGACAAUGGUAGGUCUGUGUGUCCCAGAGACGAUGAGGAAGAAAGUCGGGUGUGAUGUGAGACUGCACCUGGUGUCUCAGGAAUAUCAACUUAUCCUAGAUUUCAAACUGCGCAGUCUCCUACCAGCCCCAGGGUGGUUCUUCCACAAUUCGUUAGCUGUUCCAUCUGAAGCACAGAUGCUUUAGGGAUUAAAUAUUACUGAGAAUAUUUGGACUUGACGUUUUGUAAUUCCAUGACCAAAACAGACCUUGAAGAACAAAAUUCAAAUUGUUAGCUUUGCCCCUGAGGCCCUAAGGAUUUCAUAGGAAUGUGAAAGAAGAAUUCUAUGAAUUAUUUCCUCUGCAUAAGAAAUUGUUCUCCCCCAGGAUUUUUGUGACAUCUUGGGAGAUGGAAGGGGAUAACACAAAACUUCUCUUGAGAUGGUCAAAAUGAAAUUAAUUCCUAUUCUCCAGCAAGGAAGAGCAGGGUGGAAAUUCUCUCACUGAGCUCAGAGGCUGCUCAACCUCUCUGGUGGUUUAUGGGCCUUGUUGCCUCUGCAUACAUUUAUUUACCUGUGUCCUCACGCACAAGGGGCUGUGCCUGGCACUGGGGCUUUGGACUGUGACAGGGGUGAGCCUGGGCUGGGGAAGAAGCCUGCCCCAGCACUUUGGGCCCGGCAGCCCAGCUUCCUGGGGGAUGCAGACUCUGCCCAAUGUCUUCAAUAAGUUGUGUCUACAGAGGCCAAAAAGAGGCCAUGGGGUUUCUCUGGAAGAACACAGGCUCUGGGUAAAGGAAGGAGACCAGAGUUUCUGCCUUUUGGUGGGGUUAUGUUUGUGACAACUCUGACAAAAAUGGCUGGAUAUAUUCUGUGUCCAGCUAGAAUUUUCCAUGGCUGGAGGAGCCUGUGAGUUACACUAAGCAGUUCCUGUGGUCUGGAACAAUUACUUGGGACAUAGCAUAUGCUCAUCAUGCCCUAUUUUCUAAUGUGAACUUUGUAGAUUUAGGUGCUCAAUGAAUAUGUAAUGGAGUGCAUGAAUGAGGUCUCCUACCAUUCAGCCAAUCACAGAGCUCCCUUUGGUUGCUAAGGCAACUUGGAUGGGUUGGUAAGAGGAAUUAAACUUAGUGGUCCAAUGUGACUGCCUCUUGCAGUUGAAUUAAUUCAAUACCUGAGGCAUCUCCUGGAGAUUACAUCAAACAGCUAGUUUCCUAGCCUGACAGGCAAGGCUCAUCAAUCUGUUCAAUGUGUUCUCACUCUCUUUAACAACAACAAAAAUUCAUUUUGAGGUAAAAUAUCCUGAAGGGGCCUUUUGUAAUCCGCAUCACCCAGAGAGGGUCAAACGCAUCACUUCCAUCCUGGGAGGCAUAUUUCACUUCUGGUUAGUGUCAAACUUUAUCUUAUUUGUCAACAAAGCACUGUGGGAAAUAGACACUACCAGGCACAGCCUCUCUUUUUAACAUGUUUAUGGAAGGAAGACCCUGGUUUAGCAAUCGGUGAAUUUAUCACUUCUUAUCAAUGAAAUUCAAUAGUACACGUGCUCAGACCUUGCCUGAGAUACCAAGAAGCUAAGAUCUAAUUAGUACAUGUUUCCUAGUGAUAGUAAAUUGUUACCCUUCAAUUACUCUUAAAUCUAUAGCAGACACAGAAAACGUACUUUCAAAGGGGCUAUAUAUUCCAUGUCUCACAUAUCACUGAAAAAACCCCAGCUGUGAAUUAUGAUGGGAAAUUUGUGGCUGGGUUUAUUUUACAAAAGGUUCAAUGAAGGUCAGAGGGAAUCAACACUGUACUUAAUGCACAAGAUGAACUUUUAUUUGUGAAAAAGGGGAAAUGUAACCAGAGGACAGGAAUUUACCACUUGGCAGGGCAAGUUGGUUCACCUUUUUUCUUCAUUUAAAGGUUUCAUGUCAUCCUUAGGCAUUUUCUAUUUUUUAAGAAUGUUAGGAUUCAGCUUCCAAGGAAAACCUCAUUGAGUUUUUAAUUAGUCUUGGACUUAAUUUAUAGGUAAAUUAGGAUGAUAUUUUAAAAUAUGCUCUCAUAUUUACUCUAGUAUUUUACAUCUUUAUCUUUGAUUCAGAUAAAAAUAAUUUUGAGAGAAAACGUAAAGUAGGGGUCCAUCUUCCAUUACAUCCCAGAAGGUUAGCCAUUUAUCCAAACACCAGUUAUCAAACAAUCUAUCUUUUCCUAACUGGUUCACCUAAUGUUAUAUCUUUUACUAAACUUUACAUAAUAUUUGAACUCUAUUUUCCAUUUCAUUGAUGUUUUCCAUUUAUGUGUCAAUAUUAAGCUUGUAAUUACCAUAUGUUAUAAUCCUUAUCUCCUCUUUAGAAUUAUUUGGGGUAUACUUUUAUCUUGCCUUUUCAUAAAUACUGUUCAAUUAGCUUUUUGCUUCCAUUAAUUCUCCUUCUCUUCUAAAAUGUCAAAAUCACAUUAAUAUACAUUUACAAGUGGACAGAGAGGGUAUUGACAGCUUUACAGAUUUAUAUAGAUUUAUGAAUUUAUAGUCUUGAGAGCUGUAUAAUAUUGAUUUUUCCUCAAAAAUAGAGUAUGUCUUUCCAGUCAUUAAAAUAGCUUUUUAAAAAAUAAUUCUCACUAGCAUUCACAAUUUUUCCUCAUAGUGCUUUAACAUAUUCCUUGUUAGUACUUAUUUUUUUAUUGUUUAUACUUAUUUUUUGUUGUUUAUUACUAUUAAGUUAUAGCAACAGUCCUUUUCUCAUUAUGUUUUCUA
rnacentral:lncRNA from 1 species